UACGUAGGGUGCAAGCGUUGUCCGGAAUUAUUGGGCGUAAAGAGCUCGUAGGCGGUUCGUCGCGUCUGCUGUGAAAACCCGAGGCUCAACCUCGGGCCUGCAGUGGGUACGGGCAGACUAGAGUGCGGUAGGGGGAGAUUGGAAUUCCUGGUGUAGCGGUGGAAUGCGCAGAUAUCAGGAGGAACACCAAUGGCGAAGGCAGAUCUCUGGGCCGUAACUGACGCUGAGGAGCGAAAGCAUGGGGAGCGAACAGG
rnacentral:rRNA from 1 species